rnacentral:rRNA from 1 species
GAUGAACGCUGGCGGCGUGCCUAAUACAUGCAAGUCGAGCGAACAGAUGAGAAGCUUGCUUCUCUGAUGUUAGCGGCGGACGGGUGAGUAACACGUGGAUAACCUACCUAUAAGACUGGGAUAACUUCGGGAAACCGGAGCUAAUACCGGAUAAUAUAUUGAACCGCAUGGUUCAAUAGUGAAAGACGGUUUUGCUGUCACUUAUAGAUGGAUCCGCGCUGCAUUAGCUAGUUGGUAAGGUAACGGCUUACCAAGGCAACGAUGCGUAGCCGACCUGAGAGGGUGAUCGGCCACACUGGAACUGAGACACGGUCCAGACUCCUACGGGAGGCAGCAGUAGGGAAUCUUCCGCAAUGGGCGAAAGCCUGACGGAGCAACGCCGCGUGAGUGAUGAAGGUCUUCGGAUCGUAAAACUCUGUUAUUAGGGAAGAACAAAUGUGUAAGUAACUGUGCACAUCUUGACGGUACCUAAUCAGAAAGCCACGGCUAACUACGUG